rnacentral:rRNA from 1 species
GAAUUGAACCUGAGAGUUUGAUCCUGGCUCAGAGCGAACGCUGGCGGCAUGCUUAACACAUGCAAGUCGCACGGACCUUUCGGGGUGAGUGGCGGACGGGUGAGUAACGCGUAGGGAUCUAUCCAUGGGUGGGGGAUAACACCGGGAAACUGGUGCUAAUACCGCAUGAUACCUGAGGGUCAAAGGCGCGAGUCGCCUGUGGAGGAGCCUGCGUUCGAUUAGCUUGUUGGUGGGGUAAAGGCCUACCAAGGCGAUGAUCGAUAGCUGGUCUGAGAGGAUGAUCAGCCACACUGGGACUGAGACACGGCCCAG